rnacentral:rRNA from 1 species
AUGCUGGAGGUAUCAGAAGUGCGAAUGCUGACAUAAGUAACGAUAAUGCGGGUGAAAAACCCGCACGCCGGAAGACCAAGGGUUCCUGUCCAACGUUAAUCGGGGCAGGGUGAGUCGACCCCUAAGGCGAGGCUGAAAAGCGUAGUCGAUGGGAAACGGGUUAAUAUUCCCGUACUGGUGGUAACUGCGAUGGGGGAACGGAGAAGGCUAGGUUGUCCGGGCGACGGUCGUCCCGGUUCAAGCAUGUAGGCAGAGUGAUUAGGCAAAUCCGGUCACUUAAUGCUGAGGUGUGAUGACGAGCCACUAAGGUGGUGAAGCAAUUGAUGCCCUGCUUCCAGGAAAAGCCUCUAAGCUUCAGGUUACCAACAAUCGUACCCCAAACCGACACAGGUGGUCAGGUAGAGAAUACUCAGGCGCUUGAGAGAACUCGGGUGAAGGAACUAGGCAAAAUGGUGCCGUAACUUCGGGAGAAGGCACGCUGGCGGUAAGUGAAGUCCCUUGCGGACGGAGCCGAAGCCAGUCGAAGAUACCAGCUGGCUGCAACUGUUUAUUAAAAACACAGCACUGUGCAAACACGAAAGUGGACGUAUACGGUGUGACGCCUGCCCGGUGCUGGAAGGUUAAUUGAUGGGGUUAUCCUUAGGGAGAAGCUCUUGAUCGAAGCCCCAGUAAACGGCGGCCGUAACUAUAACGGUCCUAAGGUAGCGAAAUUCCUUGUCGGGUAAGUUCCGACCUGCACGAAUGGCGUAAUGAUGGCCAGGCUGUCUCCACCCGAGACUCAGUGAAAUUGAACUCGCUGUGAAGAUGCAGUGUACCCGCGGCAAGACGGAAAGACCCCGUGAACCUUUACUAUAGCUUGACACUGAACAUUGAGCCUUGAUGUGUAGGAUAGGUGGGAGACUAUGAAGUGUGGACGCCAGUCUGCAUGGAGUCAACCUUGAAAUACCACCCUUUAACGUUUGAUGUUCUAACCUAGG